rnacentral:rRNA from 1 species
UACGUAGGGCGCAAGCGUUGUCCGGAAUUAUUGGGCGUAAAGAGCUCGUAGGCGGUUUGUUGCGUCGGCUGUGAAAUCCCGAGGCUCAACCUCGGGUCUGCAGUCGAUACGAGCAAACUAGAGUGUUGCAGGGGAGACUGGAAUUCCUGGUGUAGCGGUGAAAUGACGCAGAUAUCAGGAGGAACACCGGUGGCGAAGGCGGGGUCUCUGGGCAACAACUGACGCUGGAGGAGCGAAAGCGUGGGGAGCGAACAGG